GGAGGCCUACGGGGCGCAGCAGUCGAGAAUCAUUCACAAUGGGGGAAACCCUGAUGGUGCGACGCUGCGUGGGGGAAUGAAGGUCUUCGGAUUGUAAACCCCUGUCAUGUGGGAGCAAAUUAAAAAGAUAGUACCACAAGAGGAAGAGACGGCUAACUCUGUGCCAGCAGCCGCGGUAAUACAGAGGUCUUAAGCGUUGUUCGGAAUCACUGGGCGUAAAGCGUGCGUAGGCUGUUUCGUCAGUCGUGUGUGAAAGGCGCGGGCUCAACCCGCGGGCGGCACA
rnacentral:rRNA from 1 species